UACGUAGGAGGCAAGCGUUGUUCGGAUUUACUGGGCGUAAAGGGCGUGUAGGCGGUUCGGGAAGUCCUUGGUGAAAUCUCCCGGCUUAACCGGGAAGGGUCUGAGGAUACUCCCGGACUUGAGGGCAGCAGAGGAGAGUGGAAUUCCCGGUGGAGUGGUGAAAUGCGUAGAUAUCGGGAGGAACACCCGUGGCGAAGGCGGCUCUCUGGGCUGUUCCUGACGCUGAGGCGCGAAAGCGUGGGGAGCAAACCUG
rnacentral:rRNA from 1 species